GAGUAAAGGGAACAGAAAACGGAGAAGAUAGCUGAGAGGAAUUUAGGAAGAGCAAGAAACGGAACUAAAAAAAAAGAAACUGGCAGCCGAAAUCUGGAAUUUGGAGGAGGAAUUUCGGGCAGAGGCAAAGGAACUAAACGCAAAGUGAGGAAACAAAGACCAGGAGGUCCGCCGCAAUCCGAGCUCCGCCACGGCACCUCCACCUCGUGCGCCACCUUUCUUCUCCAGCGCGACCAACAAGCAGCCAACCGCUUGCCCAAGCCACCUCCAGGCCGCACUCGUCGUUGUUGCUGUAUGCUACUCUCCACCUCUGCUGCCGCCUUUCAACUCCCACUGCCGUUGCUGCCACCGUAGCCAUCAAAGCAGCAGGGGCUUCUACUGCCAUCUCCACAGAGCCGUCUACCGUCAGCGCCACCCCCCCAGAUUCAAUUCGACUUCAGAAUUUAUAGCCCUGUAACUUAUUUUCUUCAAAUUUCAGUUUCUCUCAAACUUCUGAAAUGAGUUUGCCAUGGUAUUAUUUUGGUGCGAAUCCCCUGUUAAUUUGCCUAAACUUCUGAACACGUGAGCUUGUAUACUGUCCGGACUAAAUUUCCUUGGGUUGCUGACAAUUUUGGGGUUGAUUAUCACCCCAAUUGAGCUAAGAAUCGAUGAUAUGCUUAAUGCCCAUUAGAUGUUUGAUGAAAUGCCCAGCUAAAAUUCUGCUUGAGUGAUGAUUAACUUGCGUUUUUGCUUUGAUGUUUUUAUUCUGCGAAGGAAGGCUAAAUGGCCACUGAUAUUCUUUUAAUCUGCAACGGCUUAAUAUGAAUGACUGGGUUGCAUUGAUCAAAGGGGGUUUGAGUUUGUUAAAAAGUUUUGUUUGCUCCGCAUCUGUUUCGUGUGGUUCCUGGGGUGAGUUACCGAAGAAAGAAAUGAAAAAAUUGCAAGAGAACUUCGAGCAGGAUGCAUGAUACUUUCUGAAUUUUUUUAUUUUAGCCCCAACUUUUGUCCAAUUGCAUUACGGCCCAGAAACAUUUGUAAUUGAACGAUUCACAUCCCUAUUGGAUGCUCAUCUCCUCUUGAUAUUUUAGGUGCAUUUCUAAACUUAUUAUUUCUGUGGUUGCGGGUAUAAUUAAACCUUAAUUUGUUUUAGUGGAUUUGUUAUCCUAUUGGGCUAAAGGUUUGCUUGGUGGGUUUUUGGCUGAUGAGUUUUAGUUUGUUUAUUUGAAUUUUUUGGUUUGGGCCAUAGGGUCAUGACCCAUCUGUGUGGUUGGCUAAUUUUGGGCCAAAAUAGUUAAGCUAGCCCAUCUGUUUUUGCUUGGGUUUUUUGGUUGGGCUAGGAAGGGUUGGCCCAAACGAACAAAUAAAAUGGUCCAUUCCCUUCUUGCUUUGAAUUUCCAUUGGGCUGGGAAACUUUGGCCCAAACAAAUAAAGGCAAUAGCCCAGUGGCUUGAUCCACUAAGAAACCAGAAAGCAAAUUUGCAAAUCAGCCCCUGAAUUUCUCCUUAGAUGUAUUGUGGCCCUGGACAUUCUCAACUUCUUUCAAUUCGGUCCUUAAAUUAAUUGUAAUUAAGUCCCUGAACUUUAUUUUUCUUUAAUUUUGACCCCAAAACUUUGUUCGUUUUUGCAAUUAAGUCCCUUCUUCUUUUGACUUCUUAAAUGUGGGUUUUGACAUGAUUCAAUUGAUUCAAUUCAUGCUUAUUUUUAUCCUUUGUGAUUAUUUGCCAAAUAAAUUGGUGCCUUGACCUUUUUAUUAUUUUGGAGGGUAAAUUAGUAAGUUCACUUCAUUGGGGCCCAAUUUCAAGGAAGGUACACUCUACCCUUUUAUUUGCACUUCAUUUGAUUCUACGUGCUCCUACGUGUUACGUGAAUACGCAUGUCUACUCUGCUUUCCUUACCUCCUUGCAUGCAUUUACUUGCUUUUACUUUUAUUUAAGUUUUAUGGGGUAUGUGUACACCUCUUGGCUUGUAAUAGAUAGGGCUCGAAGAGCAUCUGGUCCAUUUCCCCUUCCCCUUUAUGCUUUUAUGGGGUAUGUGUACACCUCUUGGCUUGUAAUAGAUAGGGCUCGGAGAGCAUCUGGUCCAUUUCCCCUUCCCCUUGGUUGCUUGUUUUUAUUGCUACAUGUUUAAUUGCUUUAUUAGGCUCUUGCAUCUAGUCGAGCAUGCUAAGUGUUACGUGUUACGUGUUUACGAGUGUUUUGGCAUGUCUACUUGCUUUCAUAGCCAUGAAUGAAUGGAAUGGAAUGAAUGUACGUCACCACACUAGUCCAACGCUAGUUGUGGCUCAUUAUUUCAUUAGGAAUUCAUAGAAAGGGCUAGUCCAACGCUAGACCCAAUAGGAUUUUUCCUUUAUUUUUCAUUAAUGCAUUAUUUGCCUGUUCACUACAUAUCAUGCAUUUUUUCUUAGUUUUAUCAUCUGGCGUGCUCCUCGAUUCCCCUUUCCCCUCACUUUAGGUCUUGCAUCCCAUACUAGGUAUAGUGUACAUUUGCAUGAGAGUCCCCUUCUGAUAAGGGAAACGAGCGAGUGUGGCUACUCGAUAGCCUUAGCACGCUAGUUUUGCCUUCUAAUCAAAGGGAAAAUCGAAGUCGACAAGUUAGGAGUCAUUCCCAUACCCGACCUGAUGCAUUCCCUUAGGUUCAUUCAUUCUCAUUUAUCACUCACUC
rnacentral:lncRNA from 1 species